ensembl:rRNA 5S_rRNA 5S ribosomal RNA
AUCUAUGACCAUGCUACCCUGAAUGUGCCUGAUCUCAUCUGAUUCUUGGAAGCUAACCAAGGUUGGGCCUGGUUAGUACUUGGAUGGGAGACCAAAGUGCUGGCAUUACAGGCA